GGUUAAGUAACAAAGGGCGCACGGUGGAUGCCUUGGCACUAGGAGCCGAAGAAGGACGUGACGAACGACGAAAUGCGUUGGGGAGUUGUAAGUAAGCUAUGAUCCAGCGAUGUCCGAAUGGGGGAACCCACUACGAGUAGAAACGUAGUACGCGAAAGCGAGGUAGACGCAGAGAACUGAAACAUCUAAGUACCUGCAGGAAGAGAAAGAAAAAUCGAUUCCCGGAGUAGCGGCGAGCGAAAUGGGAAGAGCCCAAACCAAUGUGCAUGCACAUUGGGGUUGUAGGACUGCAACGUGGGAGUGAGAUUGAUAGAAGAAUGACAUGGGAAGGUCAGCCAAAGAGAGUGAGAGCCUCGUAUUCGAAAUCGAUUGAACCUCUAGCAGCAUCCUGAGUACGGCGGGACACGAGGAAUCCCGUCGGAAUCCGCCAGGACCAUCUGGCAAGGCUAAAUACUACCUAGUGACCGAUAGUGAACCAGUACCGUGAGGGAAAGGUGAAAAGGACCCCGGGAGGGGAGUGAAAGAGUACCUGAAACCGUGUGCUUACAAGUAGUCAGAGCCCGUUAAGGGGUGAUGGCGUACCUUUUGUAGAAUGGACCGGCGAGUGACGUUACCGUGCGAGGUUAAGCUGAAGAAGCGGAGCCGAAGCGAAAGCGAGUCUUAAUAGGGCGAAAGUACGAUGACGUCGACCCGAAACCAAGUGACCUACCCAUGAGCAGGUUGAAGGUGCGGUAAGACGCACUGGAGGACCGAACCAGGACACGUUGAAAAGUGUUUGGAUGACUUGUGGGUAGCGGAGAAAUUCCAAUCGAACUUGGAGAUAGCUGGUUCUCUCCGAAAUAUAUUUAGGUAUAGCCUCAGAGUGAGAGUCAAGGAGGUAGAGCACUGUUUGGACUAGGGGGGCGCAAGCUUUACCGAAUUCAGAUAAACUCCGAAUGCCAUGUACUCAUCUCUGGGAGUCAGACUGCGAGUGAUAAGAUCCGUAGUCGAAAGGGAAACAGCCCAGACCACCAGCUAAGGUCCCAAAGUAAUUGUUAAGUGGAAAAGGAUGUGGAGUUGCACAGACAGCUAGGAUGUUGGCUUAGAAGCAGCCACCAUUUAAAGAGUGCGUAAUAGCUCACUAGUCGAGUGACUCCGCGCCGAAAAUGUACCGGGGCUAAACAAUACACCGAAGCUGUGGAUUCUAGCGAAGAGCUAGAGUGGUAGGAGAGCGUUCUAUUAGCGGAGAAGUCAUACCGUAAGGAGUGGUGGAGCGAAUAGAAGUGAGAAUGCCGGUAUGAGUAGCGCAAGACGGGUGAGAAUCCCGUCCACCGAAAGACUAAGGUUUCCAGGGGAAGGCUCGUCCGCCCUGGGUUAGUCGGGACCUAAGCAAAAGCCGAUAGGCGUAUGCGAUGGACAACAGGUAGAGAUUCCUGUACUUGGUAAGUAUCGUUUGAACGAAGGAGGGACACAGGAGGCGACUCCACGCAUCCGGAUGGAAGAGGAUGUGCAAGCAACGAGUCUUGAUAAGAGUGAAAUGCUUUUAUCUGGAAGGGUGAGUUGUGACGCGUAGCGAAAUAAAGUAGCGAAGGUGGAUAAUCAAACUGUCGAGAAAAGCUUCUAGUGAGAUACAACCAACCCGUACCGCAAACCGACACAGGUAGUCGAGUGGAGAACACUCAGGUGAUCGAGAGAACUCUCGUUAAGGAACUCGGCAAAAUGACCCCGUAACUUCGGGAGAAGGGGUGCUGAUGGAAACAUCAGCCGCAGUGAAUAGGCCCAGGCGACUGUUUAUCAAAAACACAGGUCUCUGCAAAAUCGAAAGAUGACGUAUAGGGGCUGACGCCUGCCCGGUGCUGGAAGGUUAAGAGGAGAGGUUAGGAGCAAUCUGAAGCUUUGAAUUGAAGCCCCAGUAAACGGCGGCCGUAACUAUAACGGUCCUAAGGUAGCGAAAUUCCUUGUCGGGUAAGUUCCGACCCGCACGAAAGGCGUAACGAUCUGGGCACUGUCUCAACGAGAGACUCGGUGAAAUUAUAGUACCUGUGAAGAUGCAGGUUACCCGCGACAGGACGGAAAGACCCCAUGGAGCUUUACUGUAACUUGAUAUUGAGUGUUUGUGUGGCAUGUACAGGAUAGGUAGGAGCUGAAGAAUCGUGAACGCCAGUUUACGAGGAGGCGCUGGUGGGAUACUACCCUUGUGACAUGGACCCUCUAACCCGCGUGUGAGGAGCACGGGAGACAGUGUCAGGUGGACAGUUUGACUGGGGCGGUCGCCUCCUAAAGAGUAACGGAGGCGCCCAAAGGUUCCCUCAGAAUGGUUGGAAAUCAUUCGCAGAGUGCAAAGGCAGAAGGGAGCUUGACUGCGAGACGGACAGGUCGAGCAGGGACGAAAGUCGGGCUUAGUGAUCCGGUGGUACCGCAUGGAAGGGCCAUCGCUCAACGGAUAAAAGCUACCCUGGGGAUAACAGGCUUAUCUCCCCCAAGAGUUCACAUCGACGGGGAGGUUUGGCACCUCGAUGUCGGCUCAUCGCAUCCUGGGGCUGAAGUCGGUCCCAAGGGUUGGGCUGUUCGCCCAUUAAAGCGGUACGCGAGCUGGGUUCAGAACGUCGUGAGACAGUUCGGUCCCUAUCCGUCGCGGGCGUAGGAAAUUUGAGAAGAGCUAUCCUUAGUACGAGAGGACCGGGAUGGACGCACCGCUGGUGUACCAGUUGUUCCGCCAGGAGCAUCGCUGGGUAGCUAUGUGUGGGAAGGAUAAGCGCUGAAAGCAUCUAAGCGCGAAGCCAGCUUCAAGAUGAGAUUUCCCAUUCUUUUAAAGAAGUAAGACCCCUGAGAGACGAACAGGUAGAUAGGCUAGAAGUGGAAGUGUUGUGAGACAUGGAGCGGACUAGUACUAAUCGGUCGAGGACUUAACCAA
rnacentral:rRNA from 1 species